rnacentral:rRNA from 1 species
CCUACGGGAGGCAGCAGUGGGGAAUUUUGGACAAUGGGGGCAACCCUGAUCCAGCAAUGCCGCGUGAGUGAAGAAGGCCCUCGGGUUGUAAAGCUCUUUUGUCAGGGAAGAAACGGUGGUUCCUAAUACGAGCUGCUAAUGACGGUACCUGAAGAAUAAGCACCGGCUAACUACGUGCCAGCAGCCGCGGUAAUACGUAGGGUGCAAGCGUUAAUCGGAAUUACUGGGCGUAAAGCGUGCGCAGGCGGUUAUAUAAGACAGAGGUGAAAUCCCCGGGCUCAACCUGGGAACUGCCUUUGUGACUGUAUGGCUAGAGUGUGUCAGAGGGGGGUAGAAUUCCACGUGUAGCAGUGAAAUGCGUAGAUAUGUGGAGGAAUACCGAUGGCGAAGGCAGCCCCCUGGGAUAACACUGACGCUCAUGCACGAAAGCGUGGGGAGCAAACAGGAUUAGAUACCCUGGUAGUCCACGCCCUAAACGAUGUCUACUAGUUGUCGGGACUUAAUUGUCUUGGUAACGCAGCUACGCGUGAGUAGACCGCCGUGGGAGGUACGGUCGCGAGAAGUUAAAACGUUAAAGUUAGUAAGUUAGUACGGCGUGAGACGUGACCGACGGACGACGACGAGGGAGGAGGG